rnacentral:tRNA from 1 species
GGUUGUAGCUCAGUGAUAAAGUGCUUGCCUAGCAUGGGUGAGGCCCUGAGUUCCAUUCUCAGCACCA